UAAUUUUUUAAUUGAGCUCGUUUAAUUUGUUUUCUAAAUAUUUUAAAAUUGCAGUAUAAUUUAAUUAAUUAAGCCCAUUUAAUUGACAUAAGUGAUAAGAAUAUGAUUCGUUACAAGCUCAUUCCUUUUAGCACCUAUUCGGGAAAUGAUAUGUAUAUCUGGUGAUAGUGGCCCAUUUUAAUUAAAAAUUUCGGUUUUUUAUGGUUGGCAAUAGUGAUAUGAUAUAUUCUUAUUUGUCGUAGGAGAAUCGUUAUCAUCCCCAUUUUGCGGGGGAAUCGGACGGUGCGCUCGCUAAGACAACAUCGGUGUGUUGGUCUGCGGAUUCGCGAAGUUUAUGCGGGACAAAAACCCCAUAGCAAAGUCUAGCGCAUUACUAGCGAAUUUUCGACGCUAUAUUGUAGUUGUGUACCCGGUUCUAAAAUAACGCGUUGCCAUACUCGAGAGGCUUCUAUAUUAUGGUGUUCAUAGCGAUACCGUUGUGUGCCUCGUGCUUAUAUUUAUCUAACAAUAAC